rnacentral:rRNA from 1 species
GAAAGUUGAAAAGAACUUUGAAGAGAGAGUUCAACAGUACGUGAAACCGCCUAGAGGUAAACGGGUGGAUCCGCAAAGUCGGCCCGCGGAAUUCAGCUCGGAGGCUCGGCGCCGGUUGGGGGUCGGAGAUCUGAACGGACUCCUCUCCAGCCUGUUUGUCGUCGUGUCGCCGUGUGCACUUUCCGCGGGCAGAGCGCCACGACCGGUUCUCGAGCGGUCAGAAGGCGGCGAGCAAGGUGGGUGCCCGCUUCGGCGGCCACUUCUUAUAGGCUCGCCUGUCCCGAUCCGCUUGGGGACCGAGGAGCCGCCGCCGGUGUAGGCCGCUUCGCUCUCCUGGGAGGUUCGACUGGCAGAGACUGGGCAACCGUGUCUGCCGACCGCCGCCUUGGACGGACGAGGUGGGCCCGCCGGCACAGGGUCAGUGGCACAUCGGUCGGCCCUCCACCCGACCCGUCUUGAAACACGGACCAAGGAGUCUAACAUGCGCGCAAGUCGUUGGGCAGUACGAAACCCGAAGGCGAAGUGAAAGCAAGGGCCGUCUCUGACGCGCCUAGGUGGGAUCCCGGUCCCCUCGCUUGGGGCUGGGCGCACCACCGGCCCGUCUCGUCCGCGUUGUCGGUGAGGCGGAGCAGGAGCGUGCACGUUGGGACCCGAAAGAUGGUGAACUAUGCCUGAGUAGGACGAAGCCAGAG